AUUUAAGUAGUUUAAAGAAAAUUAUGAUUUGUGGUAUCAUAGAUGUAAAUAUUUACCUUAAAUU
rnacentral:tRNA from 1 species